CUACGUGCCAGCAGCCGCGGUAAUACGGAGGAUACGAGCGUUAUCCGGAAUUAUUGGGUUUAAAGGGUGCGUAGGUGGCGUAUUAAGUCAGUGGUGAAAAGCUGCAGCUCAACUGUAGUCUUGCCGUUGAAACUGAUAUGCUAGAGAGGAGACGAGGUAUGCGGAAUGUGUGGUGUAGCGGUGAAAUGCAUAGAUAUCACACAGAACGCCGAUUGCGAAGGCAGCGUACCAGGCUCCGUCUGACACUGAAGCACGAAAGCGUGGGGAUCAAACAGGAUUAGAUACCCUGGUAGUCCACGCAGUAAACGAUGAAUACUAGAUUUUUGCGAUAUAGUGUAAGAGUCUAAGCGAAAGCGAUAAGUAUUCCACCUGGGGAGUACGCCGGCAACGGUGAAACUCAAAGGAAUUGACGGGGGCCCGCACAAGCGGAGGAACAUGUGGUUUAAUUCGAUGAUACGCGAGGAACCUUGCCCGGGAUUGAA
rnacentral:rRNA from 1 species